AUUGAACGCUGGCGGCAUGCUUUACACAUGCAAGUCGAACGGUAACAGGCCUUCGGGUGCUGACGAGUGGCGAACGGGUGAGUAAUGCAUCGGAACGUACCCAGAGGUGGGGGAUAACGCAGCGAAAGCUGUGCUAAUACCGCAUGUGAUCUGAGGAUGAAAGCGGGGGACCGAGCAGCAAUGUUUGGCCUCGCGCCUUUGGAGCGGCCGAUGUCGGAUUAGCUAGUUGGUGGGGUAAAGGCCUACCAAGGCGACGAUCCGUAGCUGGUCUGAGAGGACGACGAGCAACACUGGGACUGAGACACGGCCCAGACUCCUACGGGAGGAAGCAGUGGGGAAUUUUGGACAAUGGGCGCAAGCCUGAUCCAGCAAUGCCGCGUGCGGGAAGAAGGCCUUCGGGUUGUAAACCGCUUUUGGCAGGAACGAAACGGUGUCCGCUAAUACCGGGCGCUAAUGACGGUACCUGCAGAAUAAGCACCGGCUAACUACGUG
rnacentral:rRNA from 1 species